ensembl:lncRNA
AGAGAGAGAGAGAGAGAGAGAGAGAGAGAGAGAGAGAGAGAGAGAGAGAGAGAGAGCACGAGAGAGAGCAAGGGAGCCAGAUACAGGGAGAAAGGAGAAGAGAGAGAGAUUUACAAUCAAGAAAAACAGCCUUCCCUUAGGAAGUGCUGAGCACAUUAAUUGAAGCCAGCAAUCGCUCCCACUGCCUCCCACCUCACAUGCACGCCUGAGACACGCAGGUAUGAAUGCUCACAUACGUGGAUCCUAUAUACACGAUACAAAAUAUAUAUAUAUAGUGUUUAGAACCGAUGAAAACACGCCUGACAGAGGCCAGGCCAUCCCUCUCUCACGCUCUCUUUAAAGACUCCUACAUCUGCUGCACCCAGUACUACAGCUGCACCCAGUAAGCCUGCACCCAGUUCCGCUGAUCCCAGUGCAUGUAAGCACUGGAGGAGCCAGAAGGGUUUGGAAUUCACAUUCCUAGACGGGUCUCACAGGUACAGGCUCUUUUCAAACCGUAAACCCUUUCACGGAAUUGUAAUUUCCUUAAGGUUAUUGUUUAUUUUGCGUGUGUGUAAAAAGAGAGAGAGAGAGAGAGAGAGAGAGAGAGAGAGAGAGAGAGAGAGAGACACAUGAAAAUAAACAUUAACUUAAAGGAAAUUACAAUUUUCCCUCAGAGAUAGAGAGAGAGAGAGAGAAAGGGAAGAGGGUCAGCUAUAAAGGGAGAGAGGGGGAGAUACACAGAGGGACAGCGAUAAAGAGAGAAAGAGGGGAGAGAGAGAAGACGGACGGUGAUAAAGAGAGAGAGGGGGGACAGAGGGAAGAGGCGCAGUGGACUGCGUCAGACCCAAUGAGGCGUCAGACCCUGAGUUUGUCCAGAUGCAGUCCUGCCUGAGACACCCUUGAUCUGCACGCUGGGAGGUGGUGUGUGUGUGUGUGUGUGUGUGUGUGUGUGUGUGUGUGUGUGUGUGUGUGUGUGUGGGAAUGGAGAGGGAAGGAGAUAGGAGGUGGACAGUGAGGCCACGGGGCAUGGCUUCUACCACUGAUUAAAUUGCCCCCCCCCCCCGCCUUCCCCCCCAAGCCCAUGAGGAGACAAAACGGAAGACUGAGGAUACCGUUUCCUGGCAACUGCUAUCGAGCGGCUAGGGAAUCAAUGUGUGUGUGUGUGUGUGUGUGGGUGUGUCGGUGGGAGUGACUUAGGGUGGGAUUCUUGAUGGCUGCUGAUGCUCCGCCUAUUCCCCAGUCUGUACUAACCAUAAGUGGCCUGUUUCUCUUCCUCUUUCAGUGCGCGCGCGUGUGUGUGUGCGUGCGUGCGUGCGUGUGUGUGUGUGUGUGUG